AACGAACGCUGGCGGCAGGCUUAACACAUGCAAGUCGAGCGAGACCUUCGGGUCUAGCGGCGGACGGGUGAGUAACGCGUGGGAACGUGCCCUUCUCUACGGAAUAGCCCCGGGAAACUGGGAGUAAUACCGUAUACGCCCUUUGGGGGAAAGAUUUAUCGGAGAAGGAUCGGCCCGCGUUGGAUUAGGUAGUUGGUGGGGUAAUGGCCCACCAAGCCGACGAUCCAUAGCUGGUUUGAGAGGAUGAUCAGCCACACUGGGACUGAGACACGGCCCAGACUCCUACGGGAGGCAGCAGUGGGGAAUCUUAGACAAUGGGGGCAACCCUGAUCGAGCCAUGCCGCGUGAGUGAUGAAGGCCUUAGGGUUGUAAAGCUCUUUCAGCUGGGAAGAUAAUGACGGUACCAGCAGAAGAAGCCCCGGCUAACCCCGUG
rnacentral:rRNA from 1 species